rnacentral:misc_RNA from 1 species
AAGUCGUAACAAGGUCCUCCGUUGGUGAACCAGCGGAGGGAUCAUUACUGAAGUCGUCAAAAAACCUCCCAAACCCAAUGUUGCAACUUAUCCUCAUGUUGGCCCUGCCGGCACGGGACCUACCCCGGGACCUACCCUGCUAGCUACCCUUGGCGUAGGCCUGCCGGUGGACAUCAUAAACUCUUGUUUUUUUAUAGAAAUCUGAACGUCUUAUUAAAUAAGUCAAAA